CACGUAGGGCGCAAGCGUUGUCCGGAAUUAUUGGGCGUAAAGAGCUCGUAGGCGGUCUGUCGCGUCGGAUGUGAAAAUCCAGGGCUCAACCCUGGACCUGCAUUCGAUACGGGCAGACUAGAGUUCGGCAGGGGAGACUGGAAUUCCUGGUGUAGCGGUGAAAUGCGCAGAUAUCAGGAGGAACACCGAUGGCGAAGGCAGGUCUCUGGGCCACUACUGACGCUGAGAAGCGAAAGCAUGGGGAGCGAACAGG
rnacentral:rRNA from 1 species